UAAUGUCUGAGAAACUGCCUGAUGGAGGGGGAUAACUACUGGAAACGGUAGCUAAUACCGCAUAACGUCGCAAGACCAAAGUGGGGGACCUUCGGGCCUCAUGCCAUCAGAUGUGCCCAGAUGGGAUUAGCUAGUAGGUGGGGUAACGGCUCACCUAGGCGACGAUCCCUAGCUGGUCUGAGAGGAUGACCAGCCACACUGGAACUGAGACACGGUCCAG
rnacentral:rRNA from 1 species